GAACGCUGGCGGCAUGCUUUACACAUGCAAGUCGAACGGCAGCACGGGAGCAAUCCUGGUGGCGAGUGGCGAACGGGUGAGUAAUAUAUCGGAACGUGCCUAUUAGUGGGGGAUAACGCAGCGAAAGUUGCGCUAAUACCGCAUACGCCCUGAGGGGGAAAGUGGGGGACCGCAAGGCCUCACGCUAAUAGAGCGGCCGAUAUCUGAUUAGCUAGAUGGUGAGGUAAAGGCUCACCAUGGCUUCGAUCAGUAGCUGGUCUGAGAGGACGAUCAGCCACACUGGGACUGAGACACGGCCCAGACUCCUACGGGAGGCAGCAGUGGGGAAUUUUGGACAAUGGGGGCAACCCUGAUCCAGCAAUGCCGCGUGAGUGAAGAAGGC
rnacentral:rRNA from 1 species